rnacentral:sRNA from 1 species
GCCGGGCGUGGUGGCGGGCGCCUGUAAUCCCAGCUACUCGGGAGGCUGAGGCAGGAGAAUUGCUUGAACCCAGGAGGCAGAGAUUGCAGUGAGCUGAGAUUGUGCCACUGCACUCUAGUCUGGGCGACAGAGCAAGACUCCGUCUCAA